rnacentral:rRNA from 1 species
UGGGGAAUCUUGCGCAAUGCGCGAAAGCGUGACGCAGCAACGCCGCGUGGGGGAAGAAGGCCUUCGGGUUGUAAACCUCUUUCAGUUGGGACGAAGUGUGAGCGGUGAAUAGCCGUUUCACAUGACGGUACCUUCACAAGAAGCCCCGGCUAACUACGUGCCAGCAGCCGCGGUAAUACGUAGGGGGCAAGCGUUGUCCGGAAUCAUUGGGCGUAAAGAGCGCGUAGGCGGCCCUGUAAGUCCGCUGUGAAAGUCAAGGGCUCAACCCUUGAAUGCCGGUGGAUACUGCAGGGCUAGAGUCCGGAAGAGGCGAGUGGAAUUCCUGGUGUAGCGGUGAAAUGCGCAGAUAUCAGGAGGAACACCGAUGGCGAAGGCAGCUCGCUGGGACGGUACUGACGCUGAGGCGCGAAAGCGUGGGGAGCAAACAG